UAGGGAAUAUUGCACAAUGGGGAAAACCCUGAUGCAGCGACGCCGCGUGAGUGAUGAAGGCCUUCGGGUCGUAAAGCUCUGUCGUAUGGGACUAACAAAAUGAAGGUACCAUGCAAGAAAGGAUCGGCUAACUUCGUGCCAGCAGCCGCGGUAAGACGAGGGAUCCUAGCGUUGUUCGGAAUUAUUGGGCGUAAAGCGGGUGUAGGCGGACUUAUAAGUCAGGUGUGAAAUCCCAGGGCUCAACCCUGGAAGUGCACUUGAUACUGCAAGUCUUGAGUGUGGUAGAGGCUAUUAGAAUUCCUGGUGUAGUGGUGAAAUACGUAGAUAUCAGGAGGAAUACCGGAGGCGAAGGCGGAUAGCUGGGCCAACACUGACGCUGAGACCCGAAAGCGUGGGGAUCAAACAGGAUUAGAUACCCACGUAGUCCCUGAGCGGGCUGGCAAGGCGCAU
rnacentral:rRNA from 1 species